rnacentral:rRNA from 1 species
GAUUGAACGCUGGCGGCGUGCCUAACACAUGCAAGUCGAGCGGUAACAGGUGUAGCAAUACAUGCUGACGAGCGGCGAACGGGUUGAGUAAUGCUUCGGAAUCUGCCCAUGUAGUGGGGAAUAACCAGCCGAAAGGUUGGCUAAUACCGCAUACGACCCUUGCCCACAAGGCAAAGGUGAAAGCAGGGGAUCGCAAGACCUUGCGCUAUUGGAUGAGCCGAAGUCGGAUUAGCUAGUUGGUAGGGUAACGGCCUACCAAGGCGACGAUCCGUAGCUGGUCUGAGAGGACGACCAGCCACACCGGAACUGAGACGACGGUCCGGACUCCUACGGGAGGCAGCAGUGGGGGAAUAUUGGACAAUGGGGCAACCCUGAUCCAGCGACGCCGCGUGGGUG